UUUAACGUGCAGUUUAUCAAGGGCUAGACAUCCUUUCUCGAUAAUGUGGGUCACUAGAUUACAACCAUGGGUGGCUGCGUGGGAUGAUGCAGGCGAGCAGUUGGCUGAGGAUACCGGUCCACACACUGAGCCUUCGUUUCGGGCGUACCUGUCCUGGUACGAACCGAAGACUCGUUGUCGUUUGACGUAUGUUGACAUGCAUCCACAGCCGCAUGUUGCGACUUCGCAGGAUCGCUAUGCACGACACAGGGAUGAGGCAUUAGCUGGGGCGUUCGAGGCCUGUAGGUUGCUUGAAUUAGAUUGCUCACUGAAUGUAAUGAUGAUUCAUGGCGGGUCUACGAUGAGCAUGCCGGCACAACUCGAGGCCUGGACCACUCAACGUGAUAGAGCCCGAGGCAUCCUUCAGGCCUUUGGUACGCGGACGGAGUACGAGGAUUCCUACGGAUCGUCGCAAGCGUCGACGUCGGUUCCUUGUGGUCCCGCAUGGCAGCAGCCUCCCUUAUACCACCGACAGUACAAAGGGUACGGGUACCCCGGUUCUCAGCCCUAUGGAGGGCCAGGUGCCUCGCAAGGGGCUCCAUUUCAAG